GACGGAGGGUGCUAGCGUUGUUCGGAAUGACUGGGCGUAAAGGGCGCGUAGGCGGUUUUAUCAGUCAGGCGUGAAAGCCCCGGGCUUAACCUGGGAACUGCGUUUGAUACUGUAGAACUUGAGAAUGGAAGAGGAAAGCGGAAUUCCUAGUGUAGAGGUGAAAUUCGUAGAUAUUAGGAGGAACACCAGAGGCGAAGGCGGCUUUCUGGUCCAUUACUGACGCUGAGGCGCGAAAGCGUGGGGAGCAAACAGG
rnacentral:rRNA from 1 species